UCAAUCAGAAUUAGAUAAAAUAAAAUAAAAAAUAAAAUAAAAUAAAAAAUAAAAUAAAAAACGAAAAAAAAAAUAUAAUUUUUUACAAAAAAAUAAAAAAAUAAUAAAAAAAAAAUUUAAUUAAUUAAUUAAUUAAUUAAUUAAUUAAUUAAUUAAUUAAAUAAUUAAAUAAAUAAAAAUAAUAAUAAAUAAAUAAAUAAAAUAUAAUAAAAAAUUUUGGACUUGGACCUUU
rnacentral:lncRNA from 1 species